ensembl:snoRNA SNORA63 Small nucleolar RNA SNORA63
AUGCAGGUACAGUUACAAUAUAACUAAAGUGUUUUAUUGUCGUUCCCCUGCUUAAAGCAUUUGAUACAUUACUAUCUCUGUCUAAUUCAUUCCAUAAUAAGACAGAGACGCUUGGUCUCAAACAU